rnacentral:rRNA from 1 species
UAGGGAAUCUUCCGCAAUGGACGCAAGUCUGACGGAGCAACGCCGCGUGAGUGAAGAAGGAUUUCGGUUCGUAAAACUCUGUUGUUAGAGAAGAACAGCGCAUAGAGUAACUGUUAUGCGUGUGACGGUAUCUAACCAGAAAGCCACGGCUAACUACGUGCCAGCAGCCGCGGUAAUACGUAGGUGGCAAGCGUUGUCCGGAUUUAUUGGGCGUAAAGCGAGCGCAGGCGGUCAAUUAAGUCUGAUGUGAAAGCCCCCGGCUCAACCGGGGAGGGUCAUUGGAAACUGGUUGACUUGAGUGCAGAAGAGGAGAGUGGAAUUCCAUGUGUAGCGGUGAAAUGCGUAGAUAUAUGGAGGAACACCGGUGGCGAAAGCGGCUCUCUGGUCUGUAGCUGACGCUGAGGCUCGAAAGCGUGGGGAGCGAACAGG